GUAGAAAUGUGUUUCAAAGCCUGUUUUAAACAUUCAGAUUGAUGGAGCGGCUUUCAGAUGGUCACUGAGAGCAUUCCAUAGGGGAGGGGUACCGGAGCAGAAGGUUCGGUCCCCAAUAGUACGGACUGAGAGCAUUCCAUAGGGGAGGGGUACCGGAGCAGAAGGUUCGGUCCCCAAUAGUACGGACUGAGAGCAUUCCAUAGGGGAGGGGUACCGGAGCAGAAGGUUCGGUCCCCAAUAGUACGGACUGAGAGCAUUCCAUAGGGGAGGGGUACCGGAGCAGAAGGUUCGGUCCCCAAUAGUACGGACUGAGAGCAUUCCAUAGGGGAGGGGUACCGGAGCAGAAGGUUCGGUCCCCAAUAGUACGGACUGAGAGCAUUCCAUAGGGGAGGGGUACCGGAGCAGAAGGUUCGGUCCCCAAUAGUACGGACUGAGAGCAUUCCAUAGGGGAGGGGUACCGGAGCAGAAGGUUCGGUCCCCAAUAGUACGGACUGAGAGCAUUCCAUAGGGGAGGGGUACCGGAGCAGAAGGUUCGGUCCCCAAUAGUACGGACUGAGAGCAUUCCAUAGGGGAGGGGUA